CCUGAGUCGGUUGCCGAGCAACCGUGGCUACAUUAAUAUGUGCGAUGGGAAAGGAGCAGGGGAUACCUCUUGCCUGUGGAGCGAAAGCAGCCACGACAGCGUCAGUGUGAGGCGACUGGUUCCCUCUCAGCACCCCCUACCCCCUCCCUCUGUCUCUUUCUUAUAGCCGUCCAACGUUCACGCUCUGCUCAGUUAGUUGGGGAAACACACACAGCUGCCGUAGCAGGAGAAAAGGUAUAUUAGGUUGCACAUCAUGUAGAGGUAACAGGGGCUUCCACCACUUUAGCGGGGGUGCUUUUUAAAAAAAUCCUUCUUUUAAAUUUUUGUAUGAAUCAUGUAAAAGCCAAGGUGUCUGCUAAACAUAUCUUAUGCCGCUGAGCAGUAAAAGUUUUCUUGAGAAGAUGAGCUUUUAAUAAGGGUUGACAGGUUGUCUUGGAAGGAGAGACAAGCCCGAAAAUCUCUCUUUUUUUGUAAGCUUUGCGGAUUAAAGACAAAGGAGGAUGGAAAUAUUCGCAUGAAACAGCUUUGUUACCCCCCACCCCCAUCCUGCCCAUCAACUGACUCCAUUCUUCAACUUGACAUCAUCCCUUCACACAGACAAGAAGAAGAAGAAGAACAAGAGGAGAAGAGAGAAGCAGAGGUGGGGAGGCAAACAGACGGGAAAGAGGAGGAAGAGCGGAGAGGAGGUGGGCAGCACACUUUCAGCUCUCACAAGGCUGAGGAGGAGAAAGUGACAGCAGCUAGAACUUGGCCACACUAGUGAGAUGAAAUUUGGAGAGGAGACGCUGCAGCGCUCGAGGAGACGACAUCUAAAGAGAGCCCUAAAAUUGGACCGCCUGGAAGGCAAGCCAGCAGUCUCUGGAUCCCGUCCACCGCUUCCACCCCCAACAGCAGAAGGAUGAGAGGGGUCGACUUUCACCUUAGUGGCCAGGGAUGUCUGUGCACUACGGGAAGGCAUCCCCUUCCAGCAUGUCCAAUGCUAUGUUAUUCCUGAUGCUUUGCAAGACUGGUCUGAGAAGAAAACUGCAGGCUUUUCCAGGGAAAAUGGUAAACACUCUCUACAGUGAUGAGGAAAAGGGAAUCCAAGACAAGGAAAGUAAGGAGGAGACCAUCUUGGCCAUGCUGGGAAUCAUUGGGACCAUUCUCAACUUGGUCGUCAUCAUUUUUGUCUACAUCUACACCACCUUGUAGGUCUUGAACUCUUAUUGUGCUUCAUUAGUGGACACAGCAGAGCACAUCUGAGCUGCUUCAGCAACACUAUGUUGACUGAAAAGGAGAAAAAGAUGGGUGGAGAAAGGAAGAGGCUGAACUGUGCUGUUGCCAUAUGGCACCAGUCCUGCAUCACUUCAAACAGCUGAGACUAUAAGAAACUGGCUUGUUCCUCUCCCUUUACAGGUAAAAUUAUCCAGAAUUUCUGGUCAUUUUGACUUGUAUAUAAAUGCAUGAAGCAAAGUUGAGAGACUGAAAAGAUGAGAGCUUUCACUAACACGUGGACUUAAAACAGCAGGAAGAGUGGACAUUUUUGAAUAAUACUUUACAAAUGCUUUUAUUAAAUGAAUUAUGAUUUAUUGUUCUGUUUUACAUCCAUGAGAUAACAGUUCAAAUUGUAAGUAAAAAUUAGCUUUUGGUUUGCUGUUUUUUUUUUAACACAACAAAUUUCCAUUUCUAUGAGAUUUUAACAGACAAAAGGAAGAAAAUGUUAUUCUGAUUGAUUUAAUGUUCACUUUAAGACUGUAUUUGUCAUCAGUGUUUGCAAAGUAUUGACCGGACGACAUUUACGGAGACUAUUAUUCCUGAAAUUUAAAUACAUGCAGAGUUUUAGGUUGUAUGCUUGUACAUUUACAGGUCAAAACUGAGUCUAUAAAUGGUAUAAUAUCAGUUUAAUGUGCUGAAAUGAAUCCAUAAUGGUUACACUUGACAUUGUGCCGAACAUUAAACCACGGAAGAAUACUUAAAUUGUUACUUAAAUUAGUUAAAAGCAACGUCGUUAUCCUGUAAGUGUUUAAUUUAUCACUUCCACCUUUAAAGGCCAUCCAUAUAGAAAAAGAAGAACCGAGAAGGAUAUUUUACUCACUCAGAUGCAGCUUUGAAACUUCAUAAAGCCUUUCAUAAAUUUGUCAACAUGUACAAAAUGUUUCAUAAUCUUUAUGUUACUUAUUACUAUAAAAAGCUCACUCUUCAAAGUAGAAAAGGGAAAGCGACAGCUUGGGCUCUCAGUUUGUGCAUCACUAAAUCAGAACUUGUCCAUGAUUACUGUUUGCCUUAAAACAUGAGGAAAUGUCUAUUUCCGCAGUGUUUAUCAGGUUAAAAAGACUUUGUGAAACCCUUGUUGUACAUACAUAUAAUGUUCGUAUUUUAUGGGUUUAUUGGCGGUAAUUUUUAUAAAAGCAUCCUACUCUUGUCUUAACCAACAUGAUUAUUACAAGAUAUUUCCAGACCUGGGCCAAACAGCUUACCUUGAGUCAUUUGUGUCCAUUUUCAGAGGACGACACUGGACAGUACUGUGAAUCAUAGGAAAUUUACAUGACGGCAAGAACCUUUAGAUUAGCUUUUGGUAUGAUUCUUUUUCUUACACUGACUAAACUAACACUGUGUCUAUUUUAAGGCCUCGUUCCAUCUGAGAGCAACCGUGUCAGCUAGAAAUUACAUUUACAUACAACUAAAUUUCAACAAGAAGGGAGUGUGUUGCUGACUGACUUAAGUUUUCUUUUUAAAUAUUUAGGAAAUGCUCUUUAUUUAUUGAACAAGUGGUUUAGUUUAGGUUUACACAAAGUUGAGGUUAGCUGCACAUCCAAUUGAAAAAGUUAGUUCAAGCUGCUUUAGCAUGCAUGCAUUUGCUGUGCACCUCCAAGCAUCUUGGCAACCCACCUUCACCUCCAGCAUUGCCUAUGACUAUUUAUAUACGCAAUCUCAAAGAUGAGGUGGUCCCAGACAAAAAGAAUCUUCUUUAAGCAUGACACAACAAUGUUGAUAAUGAACUUAAGUGUAACACGUGUAGUGACAGCAUAUUUAAUUUUUCCACCAAAAUAUUUGGCUUUGGAAAAGUAUAUAUAAAUGCACCAGCUACAAAAUUGUUAGACUGCUGUUUUGGCACUCUGUGUCAACACUUUUGAUGUUUCAUGUUUAAAAUCUUCUGAUUCUUGCCACUGAACGAAAACAGUGACACAGCCCGCAGUCAGCCAGUAAGGCUGAAUAAGAAUGUAAACCCCAGGCUGUGGUGUCGCGGUCCAAUUUGGGUCCUGUUGUCUAUGUCGACUUCCUUAUGCUGACUGAACAUUCCUGCAGUGCUUCACUCAUUAAAAAAAAAUGAUAUUAACAUAUAACCAUAAUGUUCGUGAGACAGGCUUAUUGUCAGACACACUGGACAAAAACCGAUUAAUUCUACUUGACCCAGGACUGGAAUUAAGAAACAUUUUGCACUUAAACAUGAGAAGAAAGUGUGUCAAGUUUUUUUUCUUCUUUUUUCCACAUUUGUGAGUCUGACUGAUCUGGUCCAGCUUGUACAAAUCAAAUCAGGUCAGGUUAUGUGACAGUUUGAGGUAAAAGUGACUUUCUGUAACAUCCUAAUUUAAGAAGCACUGAAAUUCAAGAAUUUUUCUUUAUAUUUGCGUUGAAGGAGGGAGAUAAAUAUUUGAGAAAAACAUUUUGUUUUAGAGGCAAUGGCAAGUACUUUUUUCCUGUGCUUCCAAUCUUAAUGCUAAAAUGACUGGAUGCUGGCUGUAGCUGUCAGACAUGUAAGUGAUAUUGAUCUUCUUAUGAAACUUCCAGCAAGAAAACUAGUAAGUUCCCAAAGUGUUGCACUAUUCUUCUAAUAAAACUAGAUAUAAGAGAUGAGAAAAGGCCUCCAAAUAACGAUGUACAGUUUGUAGAGAAUGUAAGGGUAGACAGGAGGCUAUAUUAUGUGAAAAAAUGUCAUGUUUGUGCUCUUCAGUCAACAACCUCUUGAUUUCAGAAAGUGCCUGAGAUGAAAUGUCUCAACCUCACCAGUGGAGAGGUGAAAGAAAGAAAAAUAGAUCGCCUGUCAUACAGCCAGAUGAGUGGAAGAGGUUUGCAGAAAAACAUGUAUCCUGAUGGGACUGGAUUUCCACAUAGCAUAGUUAGCGAUGCCAGUCAUUGUUUGUCUGGGCUGAGGGGCUCCUUUGUUUCACAGAAAGGUUUUAAAAUGAAAGCUUAGUAAGCACACGGAAGAGUCUUAUGAAUGUAUUUAUAUUUGAUGUUAAAGUUGAUUAUUCCUCUUAUUCUUAUUGUUUAUUUAUCUUUCCUAAAGCUAUGUAACCCGAUGUAUCCUUAUGAUUUAUUUGUGUGUAUGCAAAAUCUAUUUAAAGUCACUGUAAAGUCUCUUGUGGGUGACAAAGGGUUAACAGUUUUUCAGCCUGCAGUUUUGUUAACAAAUAUUAAAUAAAUACAUCUAAAAGUG